rnacentral:rRNA from 1 species
CCAAAGGAUUUAUUCGCUGAAAGAUGGGCUCAUAUCUGAUUAGCUAGUUGGUGAGGUAACGGCUCACCAAGGCUGCGAUCAGUAGCCGGACUGAGAGGUUGAACGGCCACAUUGGGACUGAGAUACGGCCCAGACUCCUACGGGAGGCAGCAGUGGGGAAUAUUGGGCAAUGGGCGAAAGCCUGACCCAGCAACGCCGCGUGAAGGAAGAAGGUCUUCGGAUUGUAAACUUCUUUUAUGAGGGACGAAGGACGUGACGGUACCUCAUGAAUAAGCCACGGCUAACUACGUGCCAGCAGCCGCGGUAAUACGUAGGUGGCAAGCGUUAUCCGGAUUUACUGGGUGUAAAGGGCGCGUAGGCGGGGAUGCAAGUCAGAUGUGAAAUCUAUGGGCUUAACCCAUAAACUGCAUUUGAAACUGUAUCUCUUGAGUGCUGGAGAGGUAGACGGAAUUCCUUGUGUAGCGGUGAAAUGCGUAGAUAUAAGGAAGAACACCAGUGGCGAAGGCGGUCUACUGGACAGUAACUGACGCUGAGGCGCGAGAGCGUGGGGAGCAAACAGGAUUAGAUACCCUGGUAGUCCACGCUGUAAACGAUGAAUACUAGGUGUGGGGGGACUGACCCCUUCCGUGCCGCAGUUAACACAAUAAGUAUUCCACCUGGGGAGUACGGCCGCAAGGUUGCAACUCAAAG